rnacentral:tRNA from 1 species
GUGGGGUUGUGGCUUAGUGGUAGAGCACUUGCCUCUCACGUGUGAGACCCUGAGUUCAUCCCCAGCACCACA